rnacentral:rRNA from 1 species
UACGUAGGGUGCGAGCGUUGUCCGGAAUUAUUGGGCGUAAAGAGCUCGUAGGUGGCGGGUCACGUCGGGUGUGAAAGCCCGGGGCUUAACUCCGGGUCUGCAUUCGAUACGGGUCUGCUGGGGUCCGGCAGGGGAGACUGGAAUUCCUGGUGUGCGGUGAAAUGCGUAGAUAUCUGGAGGAACACCGGUGGCGAAGGCGGCAUCCUGGACCGGCAUUGACGCUGAGGAGCGAAAGCCAGGGGAGCAAACGGG